rnacentral:rRNA from 1 species
AUGGGUACGCCCCCUCCAGCAACUUCCAUGAACAAAACACAGCCGACUAACCCAUCAGCACCUCUGGAGCAAUCGCGGAAGCAGUUGAAUUUGGAUCAGCAAAAAGCAGCGUUUGUAACUUCUUGUGAAGAGCAACAUCCACGUCGACCUUGGAUGCCCAAAAUGGAUUUUCCCCGUUUUGAUGGAAGUGAUGUGCGCAUAUGGCUCGAUGGAUGCGAAGCAUAUUUUUCCUUAUAUGAGAUACCUGAAUUUUUCAGAGUCACUUCUGCUUCUCUGCAUAUGUGUGGCGAUGCAGCCAAUUGGUUUCAUGCGUACAAGUUAACUCAUUAG